rnacentral:rRNA from 1 species
AUAUCAAUAAGCGGAGGAAAAGAAACUAACAAGGAUUCCCUUAGUAACUGCGAGUGAAGUGGGAAAAGCUCAAAUUUGAAAUCUGGCGGUCUUGUGGCCGUCCGAGUUGUAAUCUAGAGAAGUGUCGCCCGCGCUGGACCGUGUACAAGUCUCCUGGGAUGGAGCGUCAUAGAGGGUGAGAAUCCCGUCUUUGACACGGGUUACCAGGGCCUUUGUGGUUCGCUCUCGAAGAGUCGAGUUGUUUGGGAAUGCAGCUCAAAAUGGGUGGUAAAUUCCAUCUAAAGCUAAAUAUUGGCGAGAGACCGAUAGUGAACAAGUACCGUGAGGGAAAGAUGAAAAGAACUUUGGAAAGAGAGUUAAACAGUACGUGAAAUUGCUGAAAGGGAAACGCUUGAAGUCAGUCGCGUUGGCCAGGGAUCAGCCUCACUCGUGUGUGGGGGGUGCACUU